rnacentral:tRNA from 1 species
GAGAAAGACAUAGAGGUUAUGGAGUUGGCUUGAAACCAAUUUAAGGGGGUUCGAAUCCUUCAUUUCUUA